UACGUAGGGCGCAAGCGUUAUCCGGAAUUAUUGGGCGUAAAGAGCUCGUAGGCGGUUUGUCGCGUCUGCUGUGAAAGUCCGGGGCUCAACUCCGGAUCUGCGGUGGGUACGGGCAGACUAGAGUGAUGUAGGGGAGACUGGAAUUCCUGGUGUAGCGGUGAAAUGCGCAGAUAUCAGGAGGAACACCGAUGGCGAAGGCAGGUCUCUGGGCAUUAACUGACGCUGAGGAGCGAAAGCAUGGGGAGCAAACAGG
rnacentral:rRNA from 1 species